UACGGGGGGAGCAAGCGUUGUUCGGAUUUACUGGGCGUAAAGGGCGCGUAGGCGGCUACCGCAAGUCGAUUGUGAAAUCUCCGGGCUUAACCCGGAAAGGUCAACCGAUACUGCGGGGCUAGAGUGCAGAAGGGGCAACUGGAAUUCUCGGUGUAGCGGUGAAAUGCGUAGAUAUCGAGAGGAACACCUGCGGCGAAGGCGGGUUGCUGGGCUGACACUGACGCUGAAGCGCGAAAGCUAGGGGAGCGAACGGG
rnacentral:rRNA from 1 species